rnacentral:rRNA from 1 species
UACGUAGGUGGCAAGCGUUGUCCGGAUUUACUGGGCGUAAAGAGCGCGCAGGCGGUCGUUCAAGUCGCGUGUGAAAGCCCCCGGCUCAACUGGGGAGGGUCACGCGAUACUGAUCGACUCGAAGGCAGGAGAGGGAAGUGGAAUUCCCGGUGUAGUGGUGAAAUGCGUAGAUAUCGGGAGGAACACCAGUGGCGAAGGCGACUUCCUGGCCUGUUCUUGACGCUGAGGCGCGAAAGCUUGGGGAGCAAACAGG